GACGAACGCUGGCGGCGUGCUUAACACAUGCAAGUCGAACGGAAAGGCCCUGCUUGCAGGGUGCUCGAGUGGCUAACGGGUGAGUAACACGUGGGUGAUCUGCCCCUGACCUUGGGAUCAGCCUGGGAAACUGGGUCUAAUACCGGAUAUGACCAAGGAUUGCAUGGUUCUUGGUGGAAAGCUUUUGCGGUGGGGGAUGGGCCCGCGGCCAUUCAGCUUGUUGGUGGGGUAAUGGCCUACCACGGCGACGACGGGUAGCCGACCUGGGAGGGUGAUCGGCCACACUGGGACUGAGACACGGCCCAGACUCCUACGGGAGGCAGCAGUGGGGAAUAUUGCACAAUGGGCGCAAGCCUGGUGCAGCGACGCCGCGUGAGGGAUGACGGCCUUCGGGUUGUAAACCUCUUUCAGCAGGGACGAAGCGCGAGUGACGGUACCUGCAGAAGAAGCACCGGCCAACUACGUGCCAGCCGCCGCCGUAACAC
rnacentral:rRNA from 1 species